rnacentral:rRNA from 1 species
CCUACGGGUGGCAGCAGCUAAGAAUCUUCCGCAAUGGGGGAAACCCUGACGGAGCGACGCCGCGUGGACGAUGGAGGCCGUAAGGUUGUAAAGUCCUUUUCCUGGUGAAGAAUAGCCCGAGGAGUGGAAAGCCUUGGGGAUGACGUUAGCCAGGGAAUAAGCCCCGGCCAAUUACGUGCCAGCAGCCGCGGUAAUACGUAUGGGGCAAGCGUUGUUCGGAGUUAUUGGGCGUAAAGGGCGUGUAGGCGGCUCAUCAAGUCUGGUGUGAAAAUGCAGGGCUUAACCCUGCAGAUGCGCUGGAAACUGGUGGGCUUGAGUUCCUGAGGGGAAGCUGGAAUUCCAGGUGUAGGAGUGAAAUCUGUAGAUAUCUGGAAGAACACCGGUGGCGAAGGCGAGCUUCUAUCAGAGGACUGACGCUGAGGCGCGAAAGCGUGGGGAGCAAACAGGAUUAGAUACCCUAGUAGUC